rnacentral:lncRNA from 10 species
UGGCAGGAAGUUUACAGGGUUUAACGUAAACAAGUUCUGGGGGAUUCUUUAAUAAUAAUAAUAGAGAAUUCCGCGUGCGCAGGGCGGGAGGGGGGAGUUGGCCUAAUGCCCCUGUGGGCUCGGCCUGCCGCCGCCGCGGGGCCUCUGACACUGCGCGCCAGGCCAGGUUCCUGAGAGCAGACAGCGCGGGCUGGGAGCGCCGGCAAGGGCGGCCCUCGCGCACCUGGCUGCCAGCCCGCAGGGGGCUCGCACGCAGACCUGCCCUUGCCACCUCAGCGCUCGGGUGCGGGCUGGGGGCGGUGGAGCCACGAAAGGUGGUGCCGAGAGCGGAGCGCAGGACAGCGCAGGAGCCCCGGCGCAUCGCGGCGCGCACAGACCCAGGAUUUGUGAAGAGGUGACCCAAAUUUCAAGACAAUGUUGGAUGCAAACGGAUUUGCCAGCAACUGCAUCACUGUCAAAACCAGCUCUGCCCGUGUCUUCCGAAGAUACCAAGUGAAAUACAUGUAGAUGGGAUUUACAUCUGAAAAACCAAGGCAAGAGGCCAUGGGAAGGGACGGAGGUGGAACAGGACUGGACAGAAGCUGAUAAAUGGUUGUUGCUGAGUACUGGGCAGAUAGGGGUUGGUUAUCCUAUUGUCUUUACUUUCAUAUAUUUUAUUUUUUCUGUAAUAAAACAAAUUAAAAUCACCUGUCGUGACCUCACAGGGGCCAGUGUGGGUUGUGGCGUGAGGCAGGAAGCUCUGCAGAGUUCCUUGGUCAAAAGGAUUAAUUACAAAAGAACUCCAUGAACACCGAGAAGAAGAGAAGGGAAUCCUGGCAUUUAAAGCCACAAAGAAACUUGAUAUGGUCUUGUCUCCUUCUCUCAAUUGACAGUGAGAAACUGAAGACCAGAGAGGGUGAGUGGUUUACUCAGUUUGGCACAACUGACCCCAACCUAGCCCUCCAUGAGGACUGAGCGCAUGAGAGAUCCUGAGCCACAGCCGCCCAGCCCUGCUCCUCUCGAAUUUCUGACCUACAGGAACUGCAAGAAGUAAUGAAAGACUGCUGUUUAAAGCCACUGCAUUUUGGCAUGAUUUGUUAUGCAGUCGUAGAUAACCAGAAAACAUCGGAUUUACAUUUUAAGGAUUACUUCAUGCACAUAAAAGAAAACGCAACUACAGUGGACCCUGAACAACGAAACAGAGAAGCAAAGAAGUUAGCAAGCUUGUUUUGGCAGAAGAAAAAACACAAAAUACCCAACCACAGAUCCUCAAAAAUAUUGCUAAGCACUAAUUUUGCUAACAUGUUAGACAGCCUUCGGAUCUAGGCAAUCUUGUUCCUCAGCUGGAAAGAGUUCCUGCCAGCCAUGUGAUUCCAAAUCCACCCUGGACAUAUGGGGAUAAUGAGAAAAUCAGCUCCGGCCUUCCCUGGCCUUCCAGCCAAGUGAAUGGGGGCAUCCCCUGGUGCUUCAGCCCGGGGCCCACCCAGAGGAUGCUAGCUGGCCUGCAGAGGCCUCAACCAUGCCCUCCUGGACUCAGGUAAGACUGAGGUUUCCAUGCCCUCAAAACAAUUGUUCAGACAAAAACUCACUGCCCAGGUCAAAGUCACAGCACCAGAAAGCCAACCUGAGGAUGAAGACAAAGCUCUUUGUUGGCACAGUCCCCUGAUCAUUCGAGGUCAGCAUCUCCAUCAAAAUGGACCCAAUGCUGAGGCAAGAAGGAGAACAUCACUGUUAAGAAGGUAAUGAGUCACAAAUGCUAUUUCGAUGGUUUUCUUUGAAAGAAAUACACAGAACCAAACCAAUUUUAAUUAAAGAUCUUGUCUUUGUAAUCAGGCAGCCACAAAUGAAGGCAAAACUGCUUUCAUGUGGCAUAAUAUACACAGAGCUGAACUAGUUUUCCCAUAAAAGGGCAGGUUCUUUUCUUCAAAUAAGAAAAGAGUUUGUUCCUAACAAUAUGGGGGAUGCAACAGAAAGCUGUCUUUUGCAAAGUAUAAAAUUGCAGAUCCUCCCGUGGAAGCCAUUUCUUGAUGCUAAACCAAUGCGAACGUUUGCCAAACGCACAUGCGAGCCGGGAUUAUCCUACCCUUUGAGAUUAGACAUGUGAUCCUGAUUUUUAAGUGAAAAACGCAGCCAGAGGCCAAAUAAACAUACCUACAAGUACAUCGAAAGCUCAAAUGGUUGAGAAAUGAUUGUAACACACCCCGGUGUGUAUUUCUGAGGAAGAAUCAACAUGCACAUGGAAAUUGAUGUUUUGAUUUUUAAUUUUAAAACGACGACAGAACUGAAAUACCUCCCCUAACUAGGUCCACUGAAACCAGUGAGGAGAUAAUCAUUUUCAGUUAAAUAUGCAUGUAAUUUAAUAAUCCACAGAUGGAAAAUGCAUUUGAGGUGGACUGAACACAGCCAGGAGUUUUUGCUUAUCGACAGCACUGAAUCCUGCCUUGACUAGAGAGACUCGUCAUGUGAUCAACUGUGGCCAGAGGGCAUCCUGCAGACAGCUCCUGUCACACCACACUGACCAGACUCUUAUGAGUAUUUAAGCAUCUUCAGGGAAGCGAUUGACUGUCUUAUAAUGGUCUUACAAGUACGGAACUUUAUUACCUGCUAAUAAUCAGAGCACAUGAUGGCACAAUAGAAUAUACGAGUGAAGUUCUAAAUGCAAGGUUGUUCUUAUUCUGUGAGUGGCAAAACUCAUGCAGUGAGCAGAUAAAGCUGGCAGGAGGCAUUGGCGCCCUAAUGCUGGGCACUAACCACCUGCCCGGACUGCGAAUAUCUGUUGGGUCCUUUCUAUAUCUGGUCUAUUCUCGUGUUUGAUUAUAUCCUGGUGGCAAGAAUAGCAAAAUCAACUCUCCUUCCUAUCCCAUGUGGAGAGGCAUGAUUUGAGUCAGAGAGCAUUAUCCUCUCUGCGUUAUCCAACCCCAUGUCCCAUGAUGCACUUUGUAGACAAGCAAGUGUCCCUGGUGGAGAAUCCACAGCCACACAUCCUCAUUGGUUGCAAGGAUCAGUGUCCAAUAUCUACUGCCAUGAUCAUUCUCAGUUUUACAUCCACAGAGCUUCAUAGAAUUCUAACACCACAGGUCCAAGUAGAGGUUUUGGCCUCAGAGUGGGCUAGAUUCCACCUCUGACAGCAGCUGUGGGACUGUUUUUCCAUCUGUAAAAUGGAGACAAGAGUAUCACCUACCUCAUGGUGUUGGUGGGAUCGUUAAACAGAAUUCCGAUCAUGAAACCCUUAGCCUGCUCCCUGCAUAGGCUGCAUGCGCUCAGUGAGCUAUGGCUCUGUUUCAUGCUGACUUUACCAUCAUGUAAGCAGUUUUAAAAAUGCUAGAAGCUUUAGUCAUAGAAUUACCAUAUGAUACAGCCUACUGCAGAGUCCAGAGGCUGAGGCAGGAGAGUUACUUGAACCUGGGAGGCGGAGGUUGCAGUGAGCCAAGAUCGCGCCACUGCACUCCAGCCUGGGCAACAGAGUGAGAUUCUGUCUCAACACAAAAAAGAAGACAUGUGUCCCCAUCACAGUAUCAUACAGAGUGCUUCCACUGCCCUAAAAUACCCUGUGCUCUUCCUAUUCAUCCCUCUCUUCAACCCCAGCAACCACUGAUCCUUUUACCAUCUCCAUGGUUUUGCCUUUCCCAGAAUGUCAUAUUGUUGGAAUCAUACGCUAUGUAGCCUUUGCAAAUGGGCUUCUUUCACCGAGCAAUGUGCAUUGAAGGUGCCUCUAUGACUUUUCAAGGGUUGAUAGCUCAUUCCUUUUUAUUGCUAAAUAAUAUUCCAUUGUCUGAAUGUACCACAUUUUGUUUAUCCAUUCACCUACUAAAGGACAUCUUGGUUGCUUCCAAGUUUGGGCAAUUAUAAAUAAAACUGCUAUAAACAUUGUGUGCAGGUUUUUUUUUCUAGAUGUCAGUUUUUAACUCAUUUGGACUAUAGAGCACUAUUGCUGGAUCAUAUGAUACGUGUGUGUUUAGUUUUAUGAGAAACUGCCAAACUGUCUUCCAAAGUGGCUGCACCAUUUUGCAUUCCCACCGUCAAUGAAUGAGAGCUCCGGUUGUUCCACAUCCUCACCAGCAUUUGGUGUUGUCAUUGUUUUGGAUUUUAGCCAUUUCAUAGGUGUGUAGAGGUAGCUCAUUGUUUUAAUCUAAUAAACAUCUUAUUGAAGAAUAACACACAAGCAGAAAAUUUCAGAGAUACAAACGAACAGCUUUUUCAACCAUCACCCACUGGAUACAGUUCUGUAUCCAGCACCCAGGCCAAGAAACUGACACUAACGGUGCCCUGUGCCC